rnacentral:rRNA from 1 species
UACGUAGGGUGCGAGCGUUGCCCGGAUUUAUUGGGCGUAAAGGGCGCGUAGGCGGCCACGCACGUCCGUUGUGAAAUCGCCCGGCUCAACUGGGCGGGGUCAGCGGAUACGGUGUGGCUAGAGCAAGCUAGGGGGCAAUGAAAUUCCCGGUGUAGUGGUGGAAUGCGUAGAUAUCGGGAGGAACACCAGUGGCGAAGGCGGUUGCCUGGAGCUUUGCUGACGCUGAUGCGCGAAAGCGUGGGGAGCGAUCCGG